rnacentral:rRNA from 1 species
AUGAUCCAGAAGUUAAAACUCAAGCUUAGUGCUUGGGCAAUGAGCAAGGUCGAUGUCACCCAACGUGCAUUUGUUAUUAAUCCAAAGAUAAUUCUCCCGUUCAAGCCAGCGGAUGUGGCCAAGGUCUUCGAGAUCCCAUGCGGCAACAGGGAUGUGCGUGGACCGGAUGGCAACAUCAACGAAGAGUCUGUUUCAUUUAUAAAAAAGACCCUAGGCAUGGACCAGUCCGCAGCACACAGCUUGCGCGUUGCGGAGGAGUUCUUGAUGCGGAACAUAACUGAAGAAUCAAGCAAGUUGGAGAAAGACUGUUUUCUGAUAGCGUUCGUGAUCUUUGUAAUGGGUCAUCUCCUAGAUCCUUCGUCGAAACAUGACUACAAGAGCAUCAAUUCCUGGGGCGCCAUUGCUAAUACCGAAGAGAUAGCCCAGUUCAAUUGGUGCGAGUAUGUGUUGCAAGCCUUGCUUGAUGCGGUCACAAAACUGAAGGUUGAUAUGGAUAAUGGCGUCACGACAGCAAACCUUACUGGAUGCCAUCUUUUCCUUCAGGUGUUCCUUCUUGAUAACCUUGACUUGGGGAUAUUCAACCUGAAACAUGAUGUUUUCCCUUGGGUCAAAAUGUUCGACCAGGACACCUUGCGGCGCAUGACUAUAAUGGCGUCCGACGCUGGAGUACCUGAGCCGUCGUUCGCGUCAUCAAUGUUGAGAGAUGCAGCGACCGUAUGCUACUCCCAGAGCGUUCAGACUGACAAGCCCCGCACCGGCACCUCCCUUACUGUACCGAAGGACAGUGUAGUCAAUCGCCCAUCUCCAAUGGUCGCAGUUGCCAAGAAGACCACGCCCCCAAGGCAAAUGACCGCUGUUGACUACUCGAACUAUAUCACAAAUCGAUACCCAACUAUGUCAUCCCAAACGAUAGCGGUUCUUCUCCGUGAACAGAAUGCACGGGCGGUGCGCCAUCUUACCACGGCUUCUGGAUGCACAUGCUGCACUGCUAGGGGUUUUUCUGAUUGCCCUGUUAGACCGCAGACGCUAGACGAGGAAAGCGCAUCAUGCCGCGAAAAACGCAAGUUUGCUCUUCCUGGAGCCACGCACAGUGCACAAGCUUCAUACCACACUCCAAAGUAUCGCAAACUUAGCGGUCUCAAGUUGGACCUCUCCGACUGCGAAGUUGAAAGUCCACCACAGAGAAGCGGCGUGCGAAAAGGCAGCAUGCAAACCGAGCCAACACGCAAACCCGGCCAUCAUGUGGCCACAUCAAGCCACAACAAGGACAAACAUCAUGGAAGAAGCGACGCCAUAUGCAACGCCAUACAACAGUAUGCCAUAUGCAUAGCUGAAGCAGUUAAGGACAUAUACGUCGAUAGUAUUCAAGAAAACCAGACAGGCGUUUUCUUUUCCAUCUCCACCGCCGAGCUACCCAAACGGAAAUACGUAUCAUCAAGGAGCUAUGCAGGGAAUCCAUGGUUUAAAGGUCGCCCAGUCGUGCCUCCUAAAACUGAUAUAGCCGACUUGCUGGAAGCCUAUCUGCCAUCGCUGCCCGACAAUCAGCUGGCACAAAACUGGAUAGUUCAUGGUACCCCCCGGGAGAUUAGAAUCAGAGGUGUCGAAAUCCAACUACAGAUCAUCAGCAAUAGCAUGCUCAAUCACGAGCUUGGUUCCAUCCUUAUACAUCAACUAAUGCAGAUGGACAGUGAAGCUAAUUUGGAUACACCUUGCCUAACACACCGCCACAUCCUCGAAUGUGAUUUCUCGAUACGAAUGCACCAUGCUAGCAAUGUCUUCGGUUCAUUUCUCAUUUCUCUGCGCAGCCCAUUUUGUUUCGCCACCUGCAUUAAUCAUAAUGGCCUCCUCAAUUGUUUUAAUUGUUCCUUCUUUGCAGACCUUAGCCCUUGCCGAAAAUUCAAGUAUUUCUAG